AAGCGGAAAGAAGGGCGCACGGAGGAUGCCUAGACACACAAUGGCUAUGAAGGACGUGGCGUGACUGCGAUAAGCUUCGGGGAGGCGUUGAGCAGCCUGUGAUCCGGAGAUGUCCGAAUGGGGCAACCCACUAUGGCGAACCCAUAGUAUCUCGCGCAAGCGAGAAGCUAACCUGGCGAAGUGAAACAUCUCAGUAGCCAGAGGAAAAGAAAUCGAAGAGAUCCCCUUAGUAGCGGCGAGCGAAAAGGGAGUAGCCCAAACCUGUUGUUCAGCAAUGAGCGGCGGGGGUUAUAGGGAUAGGACGCUGAAUCUCAACUAUCUACGGCAGCUUCGGCUGACGGCGAUAGUUGAUAUUCUAAGAAGUUACAAAUUCGAAUGUUAGGAGAACGGUCCUGGAACGGCCGGCCAAAGAAGAUGAAAGCUCUGUAACCGAAAAUAUUCGAACUUCUGUCUUGUUACCUGAGUAGCCCGGGAUAAGAAUGUCCUGGGUGAAUUUGCCCAUACUACUGGGUAAGGCUAAAUACGUUGUGUGAUCGAUAGUGAACAAGUACCGUGAGGGAAAGGUGAAAAGAACCCCGGUGAGGGGAGUGAAAUAGUAACUGAAACCGUGUGCCUACAAAGAGCCGGAGCCUGUGCAACGCAAGUUGUAUCGGGUGACGGUGUGCCUAUUGAAGAAUGAUCUAACGAAUUUAUUCAACUAACGAAUUGUAAGUCCCUCUGGGACGCACAAGCAGGGAAACCGAGUGUUAAUAGCGCGUUUAGAACUUUCCACUGAGUACCUUUACGGGUAUUCGGUGGAAACGUUCUUAAGUUGGUUGAAUAAGACCCGAAGCGUGACGAGCUAACCUUGAGCAGGUUGAAGUAGUGCGAAAGCACUAUGGAGGACCGAACCCGUGGAUAGCGCAAUAUCUUGGGAUGACUUGAGGUUUGGAGUGAUAAGCUUAUCGAGUUACGUAAUAGCUGGUUCUCCUCGAAAUGCCUUUAGGGGCAGCGUCGUGCAGUAGCGAGGGGGGUAGAGCACUGAUUGGUUAGCCGUGCCCUUUUGGGUAGGCGUACCAAACAAACUCCGAAUACCCUCGUGGAAUGCGCGACAGUGAGACUGUGGGGGCAAAGCUCCAUGGUCGCAAGGGAAACAGCCCAGAUCGCAGAUUAAGGUCCCUAAAUCUAUGCUAAGUGUCAGAAGGAAGUGUGAUGCCUUAGACAGGUAGGAGGUUGGCUUAGAAGCAGCCAUCCUUUAAAGAGUGCGUAAUAGCUCACUACUCAAAGUUUUUAACGAGGCAUCAUGCGCCGAAAAUGUACCGGGGCUAAGCAUAGUACCGAAAUCGCGGAUGCUACUCUCUUCGGAGAGUGGCGUGGUAGAGGAGCGCUUCCAUUGCUGCGAAGGUGAACUGUGAAGUUUGCUGGAGCGAUGGGAGGUGAGAAUGUUAGAAUGAGUAACCGCAAGAGACGUGAAAGUCGUCUCCGCCGAAAGCCUGAGGUUUCCUCCGCGAUGUCAAUCAUCGGAGGGUGAGGCAUGACCUAAGGAUAACCAUGCUUUAGAGCAUGGGAAGCUGAUGGAUAGCAGGUUAAUAUUCCUGCCCCACAGACGUAUGCGAUGGGAGGACGGGAGAUACAAUGUCAGGCGCAUUAUUGGAUUUGCGUCGUUGUCUGUAGACCAAGGGGACCGGAAAAUCCGCCCCUAUACGGUCGAUGAAGACGGGAUCGCCGCAAGGCGGGACCUGAUAAAAGAGCUCUCCAAGAAAAGUCCCUAAGCUUAAUACGUAUGUGCAUGUACCGAAAACCGACACAGGUGGGCUGGUGUGAGUGCACCAAGGCGAACGGGUGAUUAUUGGUUAAGGAACUCGGCAAUAAAGCGGCCGUAACUUCGGGAUAAGGCCUGCCACACGCAAGUGUGGCCACAGCGAACGACUCUCUGCUAACUGUUUAUCUAAAACACAACUCCAUGCGAAGCCGAAAGGCGCUGUAUAUGGGGUGACGCUUGUCCGGUGUCGGAACGUUAACGGUGGAAGUGGUAUGGAUUUAUCUGUACUGCGGACGCCUGAAGCGCCGAUGAACGACGGCAGUAACUAUAACUGUCUAAAAGUAGCGAAAUACCUUGUGGGGUAAGUUCCCACGCGCAUGAAUAGCGUAAUGAGCGGAGAACUGUCUCAACCAAUAGCCCGGUGAAAAUGCAAUGUCAGUAAAGAUGCUGACUACCCGCACCUAGACGGAAAGACCCCGGAAGCUUUACUGCAGCUUGGUAUUGGUCUACGAGUUGUUAUACGUAGCAUAGUGGGGAGGAUUUGAAGCAUGGAUCUCGGUUCAUGUGGAUCCGCCAGUGAAAUACCCAUUUUAACGAUUUGUAGCUCUAACCAGUGGAACCCUAUAAGGGUAUACACGCAGAAAGUCUUCCCGAAGUAAUGAUCGGAAGUUUUUGCGUUGUAUCUUUGUAGGGUUCCACUGAGACAGUGCCUGGCGGGCAGUUUUGGUGGGGCACUAGCCUCCUAAAAAGUAAUGGAGGCGUUCAUCAAGGUUGGCUAGCUCCGGAUGGACAUCGGAGCGAUAGUGUAAAGGCACAAGCCAGCUUAACUGCAAGACGGAUGUGUCGCGCAGAUGCGAAAGCAGGACCUAGUGAACCGACACUUGCUCGUAGGAGCGGUGAAGAUCAACAGAUAAAAGCUACUCCGGGGAUAACAGGCUAGUCUUGGCCGAGCGUUCACAGCGACGCCAAGGUUCGGCACCUCGAUGUCGGCUCGCCCUAUCCUGGGACUGAAGAAGGCCCCAAGGGUUUGGCUGUUCGCCAAUUAAAAGGGUACGCGAGCUGGGUUCAAACCGUCGUGAGACAGGUUGGUCCUUAUCUGGUGUGGGCGUGAGGAUUUGAAGGGGGUUGUCCCUAGUACGAGAGGACCGGGAUGAACGCACCUCUGGUGUACCAGCUGUCGUGCCAACGGCACGGCUGGGUAGCUAUUGUGCGGUUCCGAUAAGCGCUGAAAGCAUAUAAGCGCGAAACGGGCCUUAAGAUUAGAUCCUAUUGAACUCGUGGAAGAUUACCACGUUGAUAGGGCGCAGGUGCACAUACAGUGAUGUAUUUAGCCGAGCGCUACUAAUUUGUUCAAAAUUCCAUCUUU
rnacentral:rRNA from 1 species